rnacentral:rRNA from 1 species
UACGAAUGGGGCAAGCGUUGUUCGGAAUCACUGGGCUUAAAGCGUACGCAGGCGGUCUAGCAAGUCAGAAGUGAAAUCCCAGAGCUUAACUUUGGAAUUGCUUUUGAAACUGCUGAACUAGAAUCCGAGAGAGGUUGGCGGAAUUCCGAGUGUAGAGGUGAAAUUCGCAGAUAUUCGGAGGAACACCAGUGGCGAAGGCGGCCAACUGGAUCGGUAUUGACGCUCAUGUACGAAAGCGUGGGGAUCAAACAGG